CUUCUAGAUAAACUAUUAAAGACAACAAGACAUAUUAUUAUGAUGUCAAUAACAGUGUUACGUUUGGGAUUUGACGUAAGCAACAGUCAACAACUUCGGAAAAAUGUGAAAACAAUUUAUCUUACUUUCGAUGUUCAAUGACUUAUCAUACAAAUACACAUUCGCUAGAAUUUUCAAGCACUGGUGAUGGCUAAUGAAAGAAACGUUGACUGGAAAGAACGGCUUAUAAUACAUUCUAUACACGUAGUACAGGUACCUACAUAGUUAUGCGUUCUAUCUGGUAAGUUAUAGCAGUUGUUACGUAUUUACGACGUUAAUGCCGACGUGGUCGAGAAAACUGUAAAGGG